AAAAUUUUCUGUUGUUCUCCCUGCAGAUCCUGUCAAAAGAAAAUCACCUGUCCUAUAGCUAUAUAUUUCAUUUUUAAAAACCAACAGCACUUUUAAGAGCCAACCUCUAUAUCUUUAUUUUCUAUAUCUUCCUCUCUGUUCUCUAUCUAUAUUUCUGUCCAUCUAUUCAAUCUUUAUCUAUUGCUUUUUCUUUUCUCCCUGUCUGUCUUUGUCUACUUGUCUGUCUACCCAUAUUUGUCUGUCUGUCUGUGUGUCUGUAUUUGACUGUAUCAUUUCGUUAAAAUGCCAUUGGGGUCUGUAAAAAAGAUCUGCCCUUUUUGUAAGGGGAUUUUAUAUUGUGCACAAAAGGUGUGCUCCCAUUGUAAAGCAGAGCAACCUCUGAAGCAGCGCCUCAAGAAGAAGCUUCAGAGGCUUGAUGAGAAGCGAGAGAAAUGGGUGGUUGGUCGUAAGAAAAACCACAACUCUGCAUCCAUCAAGGAUGAAGCCAGUGUCAUGCUUGAGAAACUCCAUGCCAUUGGCUACAAGCCAAUACUCCUGCUAGGAAAGGAGGCUCAUUGUAUGAAUACCUUUGUGAAGGGGUACCAAGGCAUAUGCCUGAAAGGAAAAGGCAACAAAAGAGGCAAAGCAGAAAUGCUGGUUGACUGGGAGCCCUGUCCAGUAUGUGGUGAGCAGUGGGCCCAUUCCUGGCAGCCAAAGGAUUCACUCCAAAAUAAAUAAAAUGUAUGUUUAGAACUCUAAACAUUUUUGUUUCACCCUAUUUAUUAAAUUGUUUCUGUGCUGCAUUUGAACUCAUAUCUCAUCUUUCUGUAGUACUGAAAAGGGGAACAUCUCCAAGAAUGUGAUCUGGAGUUUAAUCUCAAAAGGGAAUGUACUAGAAAUGUACUUAAUCCAACUCAAUUUUCUUUAUCAGAUGUUAUUCAAAAGCAUGAUUUUCAUAUUUCAUGAUUAUAAAUUGCACUGUUAUUUUAUUACAGUUGACAUGUAAUUUGAUUUUAUGUUCUGUUUUCUGUUCUUUGUGAGUGAACUUAACCUCACAGUCCACUGUUAAGAAAUACAAUGUUAUGGCUUGUUUGACAUGAAGCUUAAAUAUGAAGUUCAUCAAAUAAGACUGACCUUCAUUAUACUUGCAUAUUAUAAUAAUAUCUUUUACAUUGUCUCUCUCACUCCUACUUCAAACUCAUCAGCUGACUGGGUGUUUUAUGUCUUAAACCAAAAUGUAUUUUCAUCUCAACUUUCUUGAGCCAAUCGUGUCAUAAAGUAGGUCUCUCCACCUUGGUCAUCAUGAGAAGAGCUUUACAUUCAUCUACGUAGAUCUCAGCAAUGCUACUCACCCCUUCACCACCCCCACCAGUGUCUUCAUGUAGGGGAUAUCCCAUUGCAUAUCUUGCAUUUCUUUUAAAAGAAUGAUGUCUUGAUGUGGUCCAACUGCCAAAGACUAUAUUGUUUCAAUUUGUUAUGCACC
ensembl:lncRNA